UUAACUAUUAUAUAGUACUCAGACGACAUUAACAAAAGAGUUUGGGGUCCUCUGGCGGGCACUGACCAGCCGAAGCCGGUGGUCGUAAGACGGGCCCGCCAAAGCAACAAAGGUAAUGUAAACAAAGGGUGGGAGAUUUACCCCGAAGGGCAAGUUCUCUGUAAUGAUCCUUCCGCAGGUUCACCUACGGAAA
rnacentral:misc_RNA from 1 species